AUGUGCAAACUUCCCCUUUGGUGUUCUAUAGUAUUGCUGUUAUUCCCAGUCCCUGCAAAUGCCAGGGUGUGGAUGAACCAGUGGUCCUCAAAGAAUGCUUACAUAGUAGGGGAAACAGCUGCUCUUAAUUGCAACAUAACCUCAGAUCAUGAGGAAAUAAGAAAUUGCAAAAUGAGAUGGAUCAUUGAAGAUCAAGGUGAUGUCACAAGUUUGGAGUUGUAUAAGCAUCGUGUCAACAUGAAUUUGAGCAAAACAGCUACUACUAUGACAUUGAGAAACCUGACCUUGAGUGACACCAUUAUGCCAAUUUGCAUCGCAAAGUGCAUCAUUGACAGUGUCAACAGCAAGGUUUAUGGGGAGGGUGGCACACUUCACAUUUUUGAAGACAUCAACCAGAUGACCCUGGUCUCAAAGUUGACAACACUGGUCCCAAAGGGUAAGUGUUGGUACAAUUUGACAUGUGUCUGUUUUGUUAGCCUACUAUUCAAGUAGACAUGAGUGUAACAACCACUUUCCUCUUGUUUCAGAAAUCAAACAGGAACAUGCUCUCACUUGGCUGAACCAUGUUUUUCUCAGCAUAAACAUCCUGAUUUUCAUUGUGGCCACAAUUAUUUGUGUGUCAUACAUCAGAACCCAAAUGAAUAUGAAUUAAAAAGGGAUUGCAUUAGUUGUUAAAAUAUUGCCUGAAGCACCCUUCCAAGUUAUAGCCUAAAGCCUAUGCUCUAACACCUUUAGUAAACUGUAAACCGUGAUUUGAAAUGUUUUCGGAACAAUAGCUUUCUUCAUGCACUGCAUUUUUAUUGUGUUUUUAGGCCUGUUCAUAUUUUAUUACUCUAAUGUAUAGAAUGUAUGCCUACUGAUAUAGUUUUUACUGUCUUGUAUUAUUAUCUGAAAACAAACUAGGUAAAGGUGAAAGGUGACAAGCAUCUGGUAAAUGCAUUCCAGAUUAGAGUGAGCAAAAGACUACAUUUGAUUUACUUUCCUUUAGUAUCCAUGUGGACAUUUUGAAUACAGUUGACAUAUAUUAAUUUAAUUGUGUAUCCUAAUCAUAAUCAUUGCUAUUGAUAGAAUAUAGAUUAUUUUUCACGUCUGCUCCUGCUCUUCCCCCCCAGGUGCUUGAGGGUGCCAGGCUGCCCUGCAUCACUCACUCCUAUCAUCCACUACGCACACCUGCCUUUCCUUGUCAUGCUCUUCAGCUAUAUUGGACUCACUUAUCUGUUUAUUACCUUGCCUAUAUUUGUCAGUUUCCCUGCUGAUGCAUUGAUUGUUUUUUGUCUGUAUUAUUAGUUUACUGACGCUGUUCCUGUCUCAUGUCCGUUCUUUAUUAAAUGUUUGACUCCCCGUACCUGCUUCGUCUCUCCAGCGUCAUUCCAUGUGACACUAUGCACGAUAUGGAUACAUUCUCCCACACACCAGCCUGGUCUCAGACUAGAUGUAACAUAGUAAACAUAAGCCCGGGAUACUGAUAUUAGUAUAUGUUAUUUUUGGUAUAAUUACUUAAGGCAAAAGUAGGGUGGUUGGUCAGGGUGAAUGAGUGAGCGUAUAACACGAACGUCUAGCAACUGUCGGUGUGAAUGGGUGGGCAUUUAACACGUAUGUCUAGCAACCCAAAAGGUUACGUUUGAAUCUAAUCUUGGAUAACUUCAGCAACUUUGCAACUACAUACUACUUUUUAGCUACUUUGCAACUACUUAGCAUGUUAGCUAACCUUAACCCUUUAACCUAACCUUAACCCUUUAACCUAAUCCCCAGCCUAACGUUAGCCACCUAGCUAACGUAAGCCACGACAAAUUGCAAUUCAUAACAUAUUAUAUAAAAUGGAUUAUGGACAUCUACAAAUGUAUACAUACCAUACAAAAUGUAACAUAUCAUUGUAAUUGGAGUGUCCCUGAUGUGAUUUUACUAUGUUUUGUCUACUUGAAUCCAGGUUGCAGCCACACACUACGCCAGGGUUUCCCAAAGUUGCAUGAUGAUGAGUUGGUUAUUUGAAUAAGCUGUGUAGUGCUAUGGCAAAACCCAAAACAUGCACCCAGGAGGGGGACCCAGGACCGAGUUUGGGAAGCCCUGCACAAGGCUAGGCUACAGCUGCCUCUUUUACUUUUGUGAGGCAAUUCCUAUAUCACCAAAAUUUCUUUGUGUAGCCUAUAAU
ensembl:lncRNA